UCACUUUCAGAUGGGCCCGCGGUGCAUUAGUUAGUUGGCGGGGCAACGGCCCACCAAGACCACGAUGCAUAGCCGACCUGAGAGGGUGAUCGGCCACAUUGGGACUGAGACACGGCCCAAACUCCUACGGGAGGCAGCAGUAGGGAAUCUUCCACAAUGGACGAAAGUCUGAUGGAGCAACGCCGCGUGAGCGAAGAAGGUUUUCGGAUCGUAAAGCUCUGUUGCCGGAGAAGAACGGACGGGAGAGGAAAUGCUCCUGUCGUGACGGUAUCCGGCCAGAAAGCCACGGCUAACUACGUGCCAGCAGCCGCGGUAAUACGUAGGUGGCAAGCGUUGUCCGGAAUUAUUGGGCGUAAAGCGCGCGCAGGCGGUUUCUUAAGUCUGAUGUGAAAUCUUGCGGCUCAACCGCAAGCGGCCAUUGGAAACUGGGAAGCUUGAGUACAGAAGAGGAGAGUAGAAUUCCACGUGUAGCGGUGAAAUGCGUAGAGAUGUGGAGGAAUACCGGUGGCGAAGGCGGCUCUCUGGUCUGUUACUGACGCUGAGGUGCGAAAGCGUGGGGAGCAAACAGGAUUAGAUACCCUGGUAGUCCACGCUGUAAACGAUGAAUGCUAGGUGUUAGGGGGGUCCAACCCCUUAGUGCUGCAGUUAACACAUUAAGCAUUCCGCCUGGGAAGUACGACCGCAAGGUUGAAACUCAAAGGAAUUGACGGGGGCCCGCACAAGCAGUGGAGCAUGUGGUUUAAUUCGAAGCAACGCGAAGAACCUUACCAGGUCUUGACAUCCUUCGACCGCCUGAGAGAUCAGGCUUUCCCCUUCGGGGGACGGAGUGACAGGUGGUGCAUGGUUGUCGUCAGCUCGUGUCGUGAGAUGUUGGGUUAAGUCCCGCAACGAGCGCAACCCUUGAUCCCAGUUGCCAGCAUUCAGUUGGGCACUCUGGGGUGACUGCCGGUGACAAACCGGAGGAAGGUGGGGAUGACGUCAAAUCAUCAUGCCCCUUAUGAUCUGGGCUACACACGUGCUACAAUGGGCGGUACAAAGGGCUGCGAGACCGCGAGGUCAAGCCAAUCCCAUAAAGCCGCCCCCAGUUCGGAUUGCAGGCUGCAACCCGCCUGCAUGAAGCCGGAAUUGCUAGUAAUCGCGGAUCAGCAUGCCGCGGUGAAUCCGUUCCCGGGCCUUGUACACACCGCCCGUCACACCACGAGAGUCGGUAACACCCGAAGUCGGUGCGGGAACCUUUAUGGACCC
rnacentral:rRNA from 1 species